GACGAACGCUGGCGGCGUGCUUAACACAUGCAAGUCGAACGGAAAGGCCCUGCUUUGUGGGGUGCUCGAGUGGCGAACGGGUGAGUAACACGUGAGUAACCUGCCCUUGACUUUGGGAUAACUUCAGGAAACUGGGGCUAAUACCGGAUAGGAGCUCCUGCUGCAUGGUGGGGGCUGGAAAGUUUCGGCGGUUGGGGAUG
rnacentral:rRNA from 1 species